GAGCCAGUUAUCCCUCAGAGCUCCUGCUGCCUCGCCCGCUUUCUCUCGGAAACGUGAAGUGUGGCCUCAGCUGAAAGUGAGGUGGGCCUCAUUCAAUCAGUUGAAUUCUUCAAGAGAGAAAAACUGAAGUCCCUUAGAAGGAAAGAGUUCUGCCUUCAGACUGUCUUUGAACUUAAGACUGUAGCGUCGACUCCUGCCGGAAUUUCCAGCCUGCUGGCCAGCUCUGCAGAUUCACACUUGCCAGCCUCCACAAUCGACACAGCAGGAAGGCAGCCAUCUGUGAGCCAGAAAGUGAGCCCUCACCUGAUGGCCAAGCCUGCUGAUGCUUUGGUUUUGGACUUUCCAGCCUCCAGAAUGGUGAGAAGUGAAUUUCCGCUGUUUAAACUCCCCAGUUUGUAUUGUCUUAUUGUAGCAGACUCAACUGAUUAAGACAGGACUCUAGGGGAGAAGAAGAAAGAUGGCGCAGAUAAAAGUGAGGGAAGGAAGAAGGGAAAGCAGAUCUUCGGAAGAAAGAGGCCGUAAUUUUGGACACUGGAUGUUAACCUUAGAAGAGGAAGCCCUGGGACUGUGAAGCCACAGAGGCACUCUGACCCACUCUUUCUUUCGAAUAAUACUGGAAAAUCAUCUCACUUAAACUAGCAAUAAAAGCUUGUGACUAAAUGCAAAGUUAGUAUAAAAAAAGGAACAAUUAGCAUAAUAAUAUCCCUACAGACACUAAGGCACAACAGAAAGAUAUGGUCACAAUAAACCAAAAACUUUAAUCUUUCAAAAACAAUAUGUUGUUCUUUUACAAAUAACAGAAUUUGUGAAAGAAUAGCAUCUAUCAGAAUUAAAAUAACACAUAAAUAAGGU
rnacentral:lncRNA from 1 species